CUUGGUCUGCCAUUUUUUGAUUGCAGAACACAUUUUACAUGGGUAAGAUUCAUGCAGUGAAAGUUAGGCAGGCAGGCAGUGUUUGCCCUAAACAUCUUCAGUGAACAGCUUGAAUUUUCUAAGUGCACCUUCGUCAUUCUGCAGAUCAGCAAGGUGCACUUGAAACGCACCACCUUUGAGCCCAUCCGAUGCAGUUUUGGUUUCUUGAGUCCUAGUAACUAGUGUUUUUCCAGCAUUUCUUAUAUUGACCGUGCCUGGUGCCUUCACAUUGUACCAAUCCUUCUUAGCAAAUGGAUCAACGUUCUUCUUGGCUUUCUUUUUUGCUGCCAUUCUGUAAGGUUCCGGUUCUUGCCUCCAAACAGUGGUGCUGCUCAGAGAGCCAAAAGGCUUUCAGUGUAAAUUUUGUUUCUGUAACUUUUACUUUACAGAACAGGUUCAAAGUCCACAGAUUUAUUUAGGUUUUAUCCAUUUGAAAGCUUAAUUGUUUUAUUGCAAGAAGAUGAACUAAAACAAUUUAACUUUUGAGUCUUAAGUUUGCCAAAAGUGAUUACUCUGAAAAACCCCACAAAACUACAAGCAGAUCAAAUUGAAAAUUAAUGUGUAUCUGCAUGAAUUGAACUAACACUGGGACAUUCUGAAGGGAGAUGCAAAUUCCAUUAGCUACAGAUAAAUCAGUAUUUACUUCCUUCAAUGCUACUCUGGAUUUUUGUUUUUGUUUUUCUGCUGUCAUACCCCCAGACUUAAGUACUGUAUGUCUUUGGAGAUCAUUGCUUACCAUUACUCAGCAGGUGUGAGUAAAGGACUAGGUAAACUGGAAUUAGGAGUUAGAAAGCCAGAAGCCUAGUGCUGGCUCCAUCACUCGGACGACUCACAGUGGAGCAGCGAGGCUCAAGGGAGGCCUAUUCUGCCUUUAUUUCUGCCCAUCUAUAACCUACCUGCUUUCAAAGUGUUUCUGAGAUGUGUUCUUUGCAACACUUUCCCAGAUGCCACAAAUAUGUGUGGUUUCUCUCUCUUCUAAACUUUCACAUUGGUUCAUGCUUUUGUUGCUCAGGUUAGCCAUAUAGUAGAUGUUGAUAACAAUGUGGCCUUCCAAACACAGUGUCAAUACUUGUCACUCGGCAAAUGUGUCGCUAAUGCACUUUCCUAAUGA
rnacentral:lncRNA from 1 species